AUUUUUCUGGAUGGAGAUUGUUCUCCCCUUGAGCUGUCGCUGGAAGGGGUCAUUGGAAGGGGAAAACAACAACCCUGAUGGAAACUAAUGACUGUAUCUUUUCCAUUUCCCAUGAAAGCAAGAAGUAAGCGAUAAAGCUGUUUUUAUGGCUGCUGUCCAGUCAACUUUGGGAGGAAAACUGCAACGUUUUGAAGAAGAAAAAUAAAAGGUGUAAGUGUAUAGCAGCUGUUGCUAGAUAUAGAGAUGAAGUAGCGAGAGGAAGCCGGUAAUAAAGUUCAGGACACAGUGUUGGUUCUUGACCGACAGUGGGGGAUCAGUGCCCGUGAAGAUGUGCAGACAAGGCAUGUUUCAGACUCCCAGAAGCUGUUUGUUUGCCAUACUGUGAGGAAGCAGGUGUGGGCCAGCACCACUGCACGCUCCUGUUGCACUAUGAGGACAUGGUUUAGGACCAGACCGAGUUGCCCCAAGAUCAAUUCCUUCCCGUGACUGUCAGGUAUGACCUGACCAUACCUCUCCAUGGGACAGUGCAUAUCUGGACAAAGAAGAAAAAGUUGGUAACGCUUAUGAUACAACGCUAAGAUAUGGCAGUGUUGGACACAAGACACUAUGCAGACCAAGGAUGGUGCUCUACAGUGAUGCAGGUGCUUUUCUGCCACAUGUACAUUGAAACAAGUCUGACAGCAAUGGGGAGCCCAUAGCUCUUUUUACCCAGCCUGAUAAAUCUCUCAUUAACAUGACAAAAACAAAUGGCAUAUUUCUAUCCUAAAUUAAACUGGCAAGUUUAAAGCCUCUGCAAUAAAGGCUGUUCGUUAUCUUUGGAUUAAGCUUGCUGCCAAAUAUACAUGUAAAACAACAGCUAUUAUGUUACUCUUAUAGACAUCUAAGCUGUCAAUAAGAGUAUCUGUAGUAUCUGUUUUCUCGCUUACGAAUGCCUGUCAGAUAUGGCAUGAAGUGAAUAUGGCAAAGCAGAGUGCUAAGGUAACUUUUAAUAACAAGUGCCAUGACAAUUAUAGCUGCAAGACCGGACCUUGAUUUGACAUUUUGGAGAGUGUGAUCUUUCUUUUCUUACUUCCCUUCCCAAAUGUUUCAUCCCUUGCUUAGCUGUAAGGCAGAGAGAAGCUUUGAAAAUGGGUCUUACACCAUCUGCUCACUGAAAAACCAAAUAAAGGAAAUAUGCCACCAAUUUUCUGCUCUGAGCUGGUCAGAAACCUUUUAUUUUUAGAAAAAAAAAAAACAAACAAAAAAGAAAAACAAAAAGAAAAACAGAGAGAGAGAGGGAGGUCUAGAAUGGAGUUUGUGGUUGAGUGUUUUUUCCUAGGGGAACAUGUUACUAAAAUCCAUGGUACUGGGCUGGGGGUUGGAGAUCUUAGUGGAUCAUUU
ensembl:lncRNA